rnacentral:misc_RNA from 1 species
AACGCACCUUGCGCUCCUUGGUAUUCCGAGGAGCAUGCCUGUUCGAGUGUCAUGAAGCUAUCAACUCACUUCUUUUUGUUAGGAAGUGCAGCUUGGAUUUGGAGCCUUGUCGGCGUCUCGUUACGUCGACUGCUCUGAAAUGCAUUAGCUCAAUUUACUGCGGCUGCUUCAGUGUAGUAAUCUCUUCACUGCGACGCAUCAGUCAGUCGAACGAGCUCAUAAAGCACCACUUCAUUUCAACUUUUGACCUCGAAUCAGGUAGGACUACCCGCUGAACUUAA